AGGAGGUAAUUUACUAUUUAUUUUUUAAAAGAUGUCAUGCAUGGCCUUGGCCCAAAUGGAGACCUUUAGCCAACAUGUCACCAAGUAAGAUUAGGUCUCAAAGGGCCAUCUCCUCUCAGUCUGGGAAUUAUGCCUCUCCUGUGAUACUACUCUUAAGAAAUUAUAACACUCAUUUACAACCAAGAACUCACAGUCUCUAACUAUAAGAAUUACAUGUGCUUAUGUGGGUACAACAAUACAUACGAAUUUUCUGCUAUAGCCAGUGAAUGAGGAGGAGCCUAAGAAAAUGAAGGGUAUUGUUGGGGAGGUUCAAAACCCACUGAAGAGUCUUGGAAUGGUGGUGCAUGCCUUUAAUUUCACUGCUCAGGAGGCAGAAGUAGCACAUCUCUGUGAGUUCAAGGACAGCUUGGUCUAUAUACUAAGUCCAAGACUACAUACAGAGAGAGACAGCUAAGCCAGGAGUGGUGGCACAGGCCUUUAAUCCCAGCACUCAGGAGACUGUGGAAAGUGGAUCAUGUGAGAUCAAGACCAGCCUGGCCUAGACAGUGAGUUCCACGAUAGGUAAGAGUACAUAAAGAGACCUUGUCUCAAAAUUAAUUAAAAUUAAAACCAGAGUCCUUCAA
rnacentral:lncRNA from 1 species